AUCCUUUUCUGACCGUCUCCUACAUGAAAGUACAUAUAUCCGGUGCCCACAUCGUCUCCAAACAAUCCCUAACGAACUACUGCACCUGCUUUCGGGGAUUAUAGGUUAAGGUCGCGUCUACGAAGGCAGAAAUUAGGAGUCCCACGGAAACUUACUUUGUUAUUCCGCAACGAGGGACAGUCACCCCAAAAAUGAGCUGCUAUGAUACAGGGGGAGCGUUUUCUCGGGCCUGGAGAUCUCAGAAGAGACUUUCCAGCUUUUGUUCAUCCACACACCGACGUCCUAACGAGAGCCCCAGGGAGCAUGCUCCGUUUCGCGCUGACCCCAUGCACUGUCGAAGGCUGCCUUUUCAAUCAGAAAAACGGAUCUUUUUUUUUCGUCUAGGAGACAUACCACGAGGUAGACUAUCUAAAAAAA